CUUUUUUUUUUUUUUUUUGGGUAAAAGAAAAAAUAAGUGUGCUUGAUGUCAAGUGUGACCUUAGUUUGUUUUAUGAUAUUUGUGUGCACAAAGAGCAAGGUACAACCUGACUUGGGUUUAAACUUUUUUUCCCUUCCUCUGGGUGGGGGGGCUCUUACCUAUUUUUUUGGGAGUUCACUUAUAUAGAAAAUGACUUUGAAAAUCACGACAACCAUGAGUUAAUUUGUAUUUGUUAUACAAGUCGUAUGUCGUUUGGAAUAAAAUUUUCUUAUUUUUAUGUCCAAUGGAUUAUUUUUGCACACUAUUAUAUACCAAAAUAGAGAUCUGAUAUUGUCUGCCUAGAGCAGAUAGUAGUCUAAUAAAGUCUUUCUGUAAUUUACAAAAUAAACAAAUCACGAUUACUUUGAGUUAUUUUACAAGUCUAUCAAAGAUUAUCUAACUUUGUUUUGCAUUACUUGAGAAAAACAAUGGAAUGGAGUUUGCUUCUGUUGAUUCUUGAACAAGUCCUUCUCCAAAAACUAAAGAUAAGGCUCUGCUAAAAAGAAUAAAAAUAAAGAAGGUAAGGUCCUAAUGUUGAAAUGAGUGAAGAUGUGGACAAAGUACCGACUUAAAGGCGGUUCUUCUCUUGACAAUAAUAUACGAACACUAUCACAAUGACCUUGUGAAGAAAGUGGAGCUACAGUUUCUUCACCAGGUCAUUGUCAAGUGAAGAUGGUGUUCGUAUAUAUAGAUCCUGCAUAGUGUCCGAAGAUUAGUUAAGUGAUAAUAUGGUAGAAUUAGAGCUCAUACGAAUAUCGUCUUCACUUUCUUCAGCAGGUCAUUGUCGAGUGAAGGUGGUGUUCGCAUGGGUCCUUCCUGCGUAUUGUUCGAAGAUUAGUUAAGUAGUGUUGUGGUAGAAUAUUAGAAGAGUGGGGCUCCAAAAUAGGUGAUCAUAUGGUUUUAUUUAUUCGAACACCAUCACAAUGACCUUGUGAAGAAAGUGGAGCUGGUGUGCUGGAGCUACAGUUUCUUCACCAGGUCAUUGUCAAGUGAAGAUGGUGUUCGUAUAUAUAGAUCCUGCAUAUAUAGUGUCCGAAGAUUAGUUAAGUGAUAAUACGGCAGAAUUAGAGCUCAUACGAAUAUCGUCUUCACUUUCUUCACCAGGUCAUUGUCGAGUGAAGGUGGUGUUCGCAUGGGUCCUUCCUGCGUAUUCUCAGAAGAUUAGUUAAGUAGUGUUGUGGUAGAAUAUUAGACGGUUGGGGCUCCAAAAUUGGCAUUCACUUGAUAAUGACCUGGUGAAGAAAGUCAAGACGAUCUGCGCUCAAAAGAUCAUUCACUUUCUUCACCAUGUCAUUGUCAAGUGAAGGUGGUGUCUGCGUAUUGUUAGAAGAUUAGCUAAAUAGUAAUGUGGUAGAAGUAGAAUAGACUAGAAGAGUGGGGCUCCAAAAUUGGCAUUCACAGGAGUGUCUUGUCAUUGGAUAUUCUAGAAAUUAAUAUGCAUGGCUACAUGUUUUGUUUUAUAGAUUCACACUUACAGGUGCCUGAAUGCAAUUGGCAGUCUUAAAUUUGAGAACAAGUCAUCGUUGCGAUGCAGUCUUUCACCUAAAACGUUCCGUCGUUUAGUUCAGCACAGGCUGCACAGCAGCAGUGUGUAAUUUUCUCCAGUCCUAGUGUCUGUGGCGCCCACCGGGCCACCACCCUUUCCGUGGGAACGCACCUACAAGGCAAAGAGUCUAUGUAUAUGCUUGUCCGACGAUAUAAAUAGAGGCGCAACACAACAGAGGUGGCAAACCCAUUGAGAAUUUUUCUUCCGGAGAAUUACCAGUCUCAGAAAUGUGGGGAGAACUCAGGCUUGCAGCUAUCAACUUCAUCUUGACCUUGAAGAAUUUCGCUGAGGGUCAGGGCUUCCCGGCAUGGAAAUGGUGGGAGUCUCGAAACGGGGGCGCCCAACAGUCGCCAACCAUGGAACUCCAACUCCAACCUAGUGCAGCAUCUCAACUUGAGGAGCAGCCGUCCCUGCCUACCUUCCGGCAACCAAAUAAUAAUGGCGAUGAUCAGAACCCCAACUUCGUCGACUAUGUGAUGAAGAUGCAGUGGGCGUUUCUGGUCAUUGGAGUUUGUAUUGCAGCCUUUAGCGCCGCCUUGCAAGCUCUCAAAACCCCUGCACCUAUCCCUCCAACCUUUCACUGGUGUUGCAUGCUUCUGGAGCUGGCCGUUCUUGCUUUGUUGGUCUCCGUUUACGUCUGCCGCCGUUACGAGACGGCAUCUCUUGUCAUGGCACAUGUUGCAAUUUUCUUGGGCGCCACUGCAUUCGUGCUGGCCAUUGGAGUGACUUUUCCGGCUCCGCUCACUGGGAUAUCCAUCGCACUCUACUUCGUUGCAAUCCUCGCAAUCAUCUUUGCAAAUCGUUGAAUCUCCUGCUCAGGUAUUUGUUUAUUAACUUUUUUCUUUUUCUUUUUGGCAUUUUUCAGCAUAUUUUGAUUUUUGUUUUGCUAUAUACAUAUCUACCUGGCUGAAACAGGGCUUGCCAGGACGUACUACUGUGUUAUUCUCUGAAAUGCUCGAACAUCUUCGCUGAUUUGAUGAUACCAAAAUUCUCCUAAAAGUUAAGCUCAUGCUUCUUCGCUUUGUCUUUUCAUUUGUGUGUGUGUUUUUGGAAGGAUUGUUAUCCAUGUAUUUUACGAAUGCGUGUAAACAGGCCAAACAGACAAGAUGUUGUUGUUGUCGGAAAUAUGCAAGUCACGUACUUCAUUUGCCGACUAGUCCAGUUGUUAAAUUCUCAAGGAUGUUUUAUGAUUUCCAUGUUCGUACUGUUCCAUUCUUGGAAUGUGAACAUCAUGCUAUAAUUGAAUUUCUGGUUAUAUAUAAGUGGAUCUUUUCCUGUUCUGAAGACUGUGAAACCUAUUAUUUAUUGGAUUGACGGCACUGAAUUAUUUAUUUCACAAAAAAGAAAAAGACAGAACAGAAAAUUCGAGUGUCAAUAUAUAGAGGUUUUAAUUUCUGCACCUGAUGAUUGGUUUUAUUGCAGUGCAUGCAACGAAGGAAGAAAGGAUGUGGAUAAGAAAUUAGGAAUAAUUAGAAUUGUUAACCAUAAUCCAACAUAAAAAAAAAAAAAAAAAAGAAGAAGAAGAAGCAGAAGCCAUGAUUGACUUUUUAUUCUCUUUAAGAAAUAAAGAGAUCCCUUCAAGGAAACUUGAAUUCAACAUCGAAGUUGAAAUUCCACAAAUCUUGUGCCAUAAAGACUUAAUUAAUGGUAGGGCAAGAAUGCACUGGAUGUACAAAUCAGAACCCAGGUAUAAUUAAAAUCUUGGUCUUCUAUCAUAGAGCUUCUGAUGAAGUAAUUAAGCACAGGAAAGUACUGAUAUGCUAGCUUUUUUCCUUCUAAUAUCUCCUGCAAAUUAGAGCUUCAAGAUAAUAUAUAAUAGUUCAAUAGCAUAAAAGUGCCAUUCAUACCCUGUGAUAACCGAUGAUGCAGUGCUGCCAUAAUGCUUGCUCAAGAGUACAAGUAAGAAAGCAAAAUGGCUCCUCCUCACAGAUAAAAGAAUACUGAUGCAUUAUCUGGUAUCAUGAUUCAUUACAAACAUACAAUGCAAUGCCACCCCAAAAUGUAACACGCUGAUUACUUUUCUGUCGUGAUUUAACCAAGCCUAUUUGACUGACAUCAAGGUAAACUGUAGUGUCUUCCACCACUAAAGAGUAACCUGAUAUCCAAAUUGUGUUGUAUUACAUAGAGAACAGACAAGCCUAGAAAAUAGUUGAUAUGAUGACUUCCUGAAAGAAAGC
rnacentral:lncRNA from 1 species